UUUUGUCUUAAUGUUGUCUUGUAUUUGUGGUAGAGAUAAUUCAAUUGCCAUGGUAGCUUAAAUUAAUUCAAUUGGUCAUUAGCUAUAUUGUGAUGUUUCCUUGAUAUUUCUGAACUGUAGCUGCGGUUGCUACUCUGACCUUGGUUAAUGUGAAACAUGUAUUUGCACUAGCAAUUGGGUAUAUACUUAGUUGCCCAGUUGGUGUUACAU
rnacentral:lncRNA from 1 species